UAUCCGAGAAUAAACGUUAAUUUCUACCCAAAAAGCUCGUUGUUCUCUAAUCAGAAAAGACUCCGCCAUUAACAACACCCCUGGACGAAACCCUAAGAGGCGAAGACGUCGAUUUUCAGCUCCAAUUCCUGAAUUUGAAGAUGAUAAUUAUGAUGAUCACGAUCGCAAGUCUAUUAGUAUGACCUAGGUAUUCAUUUCGAUGAUUUUAGCUUAAAUUCUGCACGAUGAUGAAGAAGAUGAGAUCUUGAAUUCGUUCUCUUAUUAUCCGAUGAUGAGUGAAGCACUACUUAAAGACUGCUCCCAACAACUCCCAUUGAGAGACUUCACCACCUUUACCACAACAACUACUUAAUUAACUACUAAAGGUGUCAACCCCGUAACAACUGUGGCAUUACAACCUGGUGAAAGGGAUGACGAAUUGAUGGGGGACAGGAAGGAGGUGGUUUGCUGCAGUAACACUGAGCGGCUUUCAGCUCGGUAUGGAUUUUUGACUACCAAACCUCCAACAGUUAACAUUCACUUUUACGCCAAUUUGUGCAAAGGUUGCAUGCUCGAAGCAUAGCCAUGGUUCCUCCGCAUAUAUGUAUAUCGCCAGGUGGUGGUGAUUGUUGGAGGUGGUGGUGGCCCUGAUGGUUGUUGUUGGCGAUGAUUGAGUGGUGUGGCUGGGCGGGUGUUGUUGGCGUUGGAAGUGAGCGCGAGAUUCAGAGAACCAUGUUAGAACUGCUGAACCAGUUGGAUGGUUUUGAUUCUAGAGGAGAUGUCAAAGUUAUUCUUGCUACAGAAUCGAAAGUCUUGAUCCUGCCUUGCCCAGACCUGGGCGAAUAGAUAGGAACAUUGAAUUCUCUUCCUGACGCCAAAACAAGGAGACGUAAUUUCCAGAUCCACACUUCAAGGAUGACAUUGGCAGAUGAUGUUAACCUAGAAGAGUUUGUGAUGAUGACUAAGUAUGAUUUUUCUGGAGCUGAUAUUAAAGAUGUGUAUACAGAGGCCGGUUUGCUUGCUUUAAGAGAAUGCCAUAUGAAGGUGAUGCCCCCGGAUUUUAAGAAGGAAAAGGAGAAGGUUAUGUACAAGAAAGAGGGAGGGUCGGAAGGACUUUAUAUGUAAGAAAACAAGUCAUGAGAACUUUUGGAUAAUCUGCAUAUUGCUUGCAAUUUCCUUGUAUGAUUCUGUUUUCAUUACUGGGGUCGUUUUCUUAAUAUUUCUGUGGUGCUCGUCGUUCAACUGUAUGCCAGUACUAUAACUUGUCCAUGGUUACUGAAAUGACAUAUGCAGUUUCUUUA